UUCGUAGGCAGCCAGCGUUAUUCGGAAUUACUGGGCGUAAAGCGUGCGUAGGCGGUUGGCUAAGUUUGGUGUGAAAUCUCCCGGCUUAACUGGGAGGGUGCGCCGAAAACUGGCUGGCUAGAGUGUGGGAGAGGGAAGUGGAAUUCCUGGUGUAGCGGUGAAAUGCGUAGAUAUCAGGGGGAACACCUGAGGUGUAGGCGGCUUCCUGGACCAUUACUGACGCUGAGGCACGAAAGCGUGGGGAGCAAACAGG
rnacentral:rRNA from 1 species